AUACGUAGGGGGCGAGCGUUGUCCGGAAUGAUUGGGCGUAAAGGGCGCGUAGGCGGCCUGUUAAGUCUGGAGUGAAAGUCCUGUUUUCAAGAUGGGAAUUGCUUUGGAUACUGAUGGGCUUGAGUGCAGGAGAGGUUAUCGGAAUUCCCGGUGUAGCGGUGAAAUGCGUAGAGAUCGGGAGGAACACCAGUGGCGAAGGCGGGUAACUGGACUGCAACUGACGCUGAGGCGCGAAAGUGUGGGGAGCAAACAGGAUUAGAUACCCUGGUAGUCCACACUGUAAACGAUGAAUGCUAGGUGUAAGAGGUAUCGACCCCUUUUGUGCCGGAGUUAACACAAUAAGCAUUCCGCCUGGGGAGUACGGUCGCAAGAUUAAAACUCAAAUGAAUUGGCGGGG
rnacentral:rRNA from 1 species